GGCCAGUGUGGCUUAGUGGUUUGAGCAUUGGACUAUGACUCUAGAGACCAGGGUUUGAUUUCCAGCUUGGCCA
rnacentral:tRNA from 1 species